AUUGAACGCUGGCGGCAGGCCUAACACAUGCAAGUCGAGCGGCAGCGGGAAAGUAGCUUGCUACUUUUGCCGGCGAGCGGCGGACGGGUGAGUAAUGCCUGGGAAAUUGCCCAGUCGAGGGGGAUAACAGUUGGAAACGACUGCUAAUACCGCAUACGCCCUACGGGGGAAAGCAGGGGACCUUCUGGCCUUGCGCGAUUGGAUAUGGCCAGGUGGGAUUAGCUAGUUGGGGAGGUAAUGGCUCACCAAGGCGACGAUCCCUAGCUGGUCUGAGAGGAUGAUCAGCCACACUGGAACUGAGACACGGUCCAGACUCCUACGGGGGGCAGCAGUGGGGAAUAUUGCACAAUGGGGGAAACCCUGAUGCAGCCAUGCCGCGUGUGUGAAGAAGGCCUUCGGGUUGUAAAGCACUUUCAGCGAGGAGGAAAGGUCAGUAGCUAAUACCUGCUGACUGUGACGUUACUCGCAGAAGAAGCACCGGCUAACUCCGUGCCAGCCGCCGCAGUAAAAC
rnacentral:rRNA from 1 species